UCACCUGUGCCACUCACUCCAGAUUAUGGUGGCCCAGUUGUUAGUUAUGCCGAUGGGGUGUUUGAUGCACGGUUUAACCGGUUUGUCACUGUCCAGGAAGAUCGUCGUCAAAGCAGUACUAAUUCGACAACAACAAUUGUAACAGUAGGGCUAGAUGGCAAGAACAUUCGGGAACCAGAAGUACUAAUAGGCGGAACUGAUUUCUAUGCUUUCCCGCGUUUGGAUCCCAAAGGUGAACGACUGGCAUGGAUUGAAUGGUGCCAUCCUAACAUGCCAUGGGACCAGGCUCAACUUUGGGUUGGGUAUAUAUCCGACAGCGGAGAAGUCCAUAAACGAAUCUGUGUUGCUGGCUCUGAUCCUACGAUUAAGGAGUCUCCAAUUGAACCCAAGUGGUCCUCUAAAGG